rnacentral:rRNA from 1 species
UACAGAGGGGGCAAGCGUUGUUCGGAAUUACUGGGCGUAAAGGGCGCGUAGGCGGCCACCUAAGUCAGACGUGAAAUCCCUCGGCUCAACCGAGGAACUGCACUCGAUACUGGUUGGCUCGAGUCCGGGAGGGGAUGGUGGAAUUCCCAGUGUAGCGGUGAAAUGCGUAGAUAUUGGGAAGAACACCGGUGGCGAAGGCGGCCAUCUGGACCGGAACUGACGCUCAGGCACGAAAGCGUGGGGAGCAAACAGG